rnacentral:rRNA from 1 species
CGGAGCCUACGGGACGCAGCAGUAGGGAAUAUUGCUCAAUGGGGGAAACCCCGAAGCAGCAACGCCGCGUGGAGGAUGAAGGUUUUCGGAUUGUAAACUCCUUUUGUUAGAGAAGAUAAUGACGGUAUCUAACGAAUAAGCACCGGCUAACUCCGUGCCAGCAGCCGCGGUAAUACGGAGGGUGCAAGCGUUACUCGGAAUCACUGGGCGUAAAGGGCGUGUAGCCGGGCUGACAAGUCAGAUGUGAAAUCCGGGGGCUCAACCCCCGAACUGCAUUUGAAACUGUUGGUUUUGAGUAUCGGAGG